AUUGAACGCUGGCGGCAGGCCUAACACAUGCAAGUCGAGCGGAAACGAUCCUAGCUUGCUAGGAGGCGUCGAGCGGCGGACGGGUGAGUAACGCGUGAGGAUCUGCCCGUUUGUGGGGGAUAACUCGGGGAAACUCGAGCUAAUACCGCAUAAUCCCUACGGGGGAAAGCAGGGGACCUUCGGGCCUUGUGCAGAUGGAUGAGCUCGCGUCGGAUUAGCUUGUUGGUGAGGUAAAAGCUCACCAAGGCGACGAUCCGUAGCUGGUCUGAGAGGAUGAUCAGCCACACCGGGACUGAGACACGGCCCGGACUCCUACGGGAGGCAGCAGUGGGGAAUCUUGGACAAUGGGGGCAACCCUGAUCCAGCCAUGCCGCGUGUGUGAAGAAGGCCUUCGGGUUGUAAAGCACUUUCAGUAGGGAGGAAGGCUUACCGCUAAUAAUGGUGAGUACUUGACGUUACCUACAGAAGAAGCACCGCUAAUUU
rnacentral:rRNA from 1 species